rnacentral:rRNA from 1 species
AGUAACACGUGGAUGAUCUACCUUCUGGUGAGGAAUAACCCUGGGAAACCGGGGCUAAUACCGCAUAAGCUCGAGAGAGGAAAGCAGCAAUGCGCUGAGGGAGGAGUCCGCGGCCGAUUAGCUAGUUGGCAGGGUAAAAGCCUACCAAGGCAGAGAUCGGUAGCCGGCCUGAGAGGGCACACGGCCACACUGGCACUGAAACACGGGCCAGACUCCUACGGGAGGCAGCAGUGGGGAAUCUUGCACAAUGGGGGAAACCCUGAUGCAGCGACGCCGCGUGAGCGAUGAAGCCCUUCGGGGUGUAAAGCUCUUUCGGCAGGGAAGAUGAUGACGGUACCUGCAGAAGCAGCUGCGGCUAACUACGUGCCAGCAGCCGCGGUAAUACGUAGGCAGCAAGCGUUGUUCGGAGUUACUGGGCGUAAAGGGUGUGUAGGCGGUUGUUUAAGUUUGGUGUGAAAUCUCCCGGCUCAACUGGGAGGGUGCGCCGAAUACUGAAUGACUCGAGUGCGGGAGAGGAAAGUGGAAUUCCUGGUGUAGCGGUGAAAUGCGUAGAUAUCAGGAGGAACACCGGUGGUGUAGACGGCUUUCUGGACCGUAACUGACGCUGAAACACGAAAGCGUGGGUAGCAAACAGGAUUAGAUACCCUGGUAGUCCCCGCCCUAAACGAUGCAUAUUUGGUGUGGGCAGUUCAUUCUGUCCGUGCCGGAGCUAACGCGUUAAAUAUGCCGCCUGGGGAGUACAGUCGCAAGGCUGAAACUCAAAGGAAUUGACGGGGGCCCGCACAAGCGG